GUGCUCGCUUCAGCAGCACACAUACUAAAAUCGGAACAACACAGAGAUUAGCAUGGCCCCUGCGCAAGGAUGACAUGCAAAUUCGCAAAGCAUUCCAUAUUUUU
rnacentral:snRNA from 1 species